rnacentral:rRNA from 1 species
GGGGAAUCUUGCGCAAUGCGCGAAAGCGUGACGCAGCAACGCCGCGUGGAGGAAGACGGCCUUCGGGUUGUAAACUCCUUUCAGUUGGGACGAAGCUUCACUGGUUAAGAGCUGGUUGGAGUGACGGUACCUUUAGAAGAAGCCCCGGCUAACUACGGCCCAGCAGCCGCGGUAAUACGUAGGGGGCAAGCGUUGUCCGGAAUCAUUGGGCGUAAAGCGCGUGUAGGCGGCCUUGUAAGUCCGUUCUGAAAGUCCGGGGCUCAACCCCGGGAGGCGGAUGGAUACUGCAAGGCUCGAGUACGGAAGAGGCGAGUGGAAUUCCCGGUGUAGCGGUGAAAUGCGCAGAUAUCGGGAGGAACACCAAUGGCGAAGGCAGCUCGCUGGGACGUUACUGACGCUGAGGAGCGAAAGCGUGGGGAGCGAA